UGGGGAAUAUUGCACAAUGGGCGCAAGCCUGAUGCAGCCAUGCCGCGUGUAUGAAGAAGGCCUUCGGGUUGUAAAGUACUUUCAGUCGGGAGGAAGGUGGUAAGGUUAAUAACCUUAUCAAUUGACGUUACCGACAGAAGAAGCACCGGCUAACUCCGUGCCAGCAGCCGCGGUAAUACGGAGGGUGCAAGCGUUAAUCGGAAUUACUGGGCGUAAAGCGCACGCAGGCGGUUUGUUAAGUCAGAUGUGAAAUCCCCGGGCUCAACCUGGGAACUGCAUCUGAUACUGGCAAGCUUGAGUCUCGUAGAAGGGGGUAGAAUUCCAGGUGUAGCGGUGAAAUGCGUAGAGAUCUGGAGGAAUACCGGUGGCGAAGGCGGCCCCCUGGACAAAGACUGACGCUCAGGUGCGAAAGCGUGGGGAGCAAACAGG
rnacentral:rRNA from 1 species